GAUGAACGCUGGCGGCGUGCCUAAUACAUGCAAGUCGAGCGAACGGACGAGAAGCUUGCUUCUCUGAUGUUAGCGGCGGACGGGUGAGUAACACGUGGAUAACCUACCUAUAAGACUGGGAUAACUUCGGGAAACCGGAGCUAAUACCGGAUAAUAUUUUGAGCCGCAUGGUUCAAAAGUGAAAGACGGUCUUGCUGUCACUUAUAGAUGGAUCCGCGCUGCAUUAGCUAGUUGGUAAGGUAACGGCUUACCAAGGCAACGAUGCAUAGCCGACCUGGGAGGGUGAUCGGCCACACUGGAACUGAGACACGGUCCAGACUCCUACGGGAGGCAGCAGUAGGGAAUCUUCCGCAAUGGGCGAAAGCCUGACGGAGCAACGCCGCGUGAGUGAUGAAGGUCUUCGGAUCGUAAAACUCUGUUAUUAGGGAAGAACAUAUGUGUAAGUAACUGUGCACAUCUUGACGGUACCUAAUCAGAAAGCCACGGCUAACUACGUG
rnacentral:rRNA from 1 species